rnacentral:rRNA from 1 species
UACGGAGGGUGCGAGCGUUGUCCGGAAUCACUGGGCGUAAAGGGCGCGUAGGUGGCGAGGGAAGUCAACGGUGAAAGUUCGGGGCUCAACCCUGAAUCGGCCGUCGAUACUCCCGGGCUCGAGCACUGUAGAGGCAGAUGGAAUUCCGGGUGUAGCGGUGGAAUGCGUAGAGAUCCGGAAGAACACCGGUGGCGAAGGCGGUCUGCUGGGCAGUUGCCGACACUGAGGCGCGACAGCGUGGGGAGCAAACAGG